rnacentral:pre_miRNA from 1 species
GCGACGUUAGGACCGUCGUUCUACCAAGCAUUACCACCCGCUCGGUGGAAGAUCUUCCCUUUGUCGU